GAUGAACGCUGGCGGCGUGCCUAAUACAUGCAAGUCGAGCGAACGGACGAGAAGCUUGCUUCUCUGAUGUUAGCGGCGGACGGGUGAGUAACACGUGGAUAACCUACCUAUAAGACUGGGAUAACUUCGGGAAACCGGAGCUAAUACCGGAUGAUAUUUUGAACCGCAUGGUUCAAAAGUGAAAGACGGUCUUGCUGUCACUUAUAGAUGGAUCCGCGCUGCAUUAGCUAGUUGGUAAGGUAACGGCUUACCAAGGCAACGAUGCAUAGCCGACCUGAGAGGGUGAUCGGCCACACUGGAACUGAGACACGGUCCAGACUCCUACGGGAGGCAGCAGUAGGGAAUCUUCCGCAAUGGGCGAAAGCCUGACGGAGCAACGCCGCGUAAGUGAUGAAGGUCUUCGGAUCGUAAAACUCUGUUAUUAGGGAAGAACAUAUGUGUAAGUAACUGUGCACAUCUUGACGGUACCUAAUCAGAAAGCCACGGCUAACUACGU
rnacentral:rRNA from 1 species